rnacentral:rRNA from 1 species
UACGGAGGAUCCGAGCGUUAUCCGGAUUUAUUGGGUUUAAAGGGAGCGUAGAUGGGUUGUUAAGUCAGUUGUGAAAGUUUGCGGCUCAACCGUAAAAUUGCAAUUGAUACUGGCAGUCUUGAGUACAGUUGAGGUAGGCGGAAUUCGUGGUGUAGCGGUGAAAUGUUUAGAUAUCACGAAGAACUCCGAUUGCGAAGGCAGCUUACUAACCUGUAACUGACAUUGAUGCUCGAAAGUGUGGGUAUCAAACAGG